GACGAACGCUGGCGGCGUGCCUAAUACAUGCAAGUAGAACGCUGAAGAGAGGCGCUUGCUCUUCUUGGCUGUGUUGCGCACGGGUGUGUAACGCGUAUGUAACCUGCCUGGUAGCGGGGGAUCACUAUUGGAAACGAUAGCUAAUACCGCAUAAAAUUGAUUAUUGCAUGAUAAUUAGUUGAAAGAUGCAACUGCAUCACUACCAGAUGGACCUGCGUUGUAUUAGCUAGUUGGUGAGGUAACGGCUCACCAAGGCGACGAUACAUAGACGACCUGAGAGGGUGAUCGGCCACACUGGGACUGAGACACGGCCCAGACGCCUACGGGAGGCAGCAGUAGGGAAUCGUCGGCAAUGGGGGGAACCCUGACCGAGCAACGCCGCGGGAGUGAAGAAGGUUUUCGGAUCGUAAAGCUCUGUUGUAAGAGAAGAACGGGUGUGAGAGUGGAAAGUUCACACUGUGACGGUAUCUGACCAGAAAGGGACGGCUAACUACGUG
rnacentral:rRNA from 1 species